rnacentral:rRNA from 1 species
UACGUAGGGGGCUAGCGUUGCUCGGAAUUACUGGGCGUAAAGGGCGCGUGGGCGGCCAUUUAAGUCAGGGGUGAAAUCCCAGAGCUCAACUCUGGAACUGCCUUUGAUACUGGGUGUCUUGAGUGUGAUAGAGGUAUGUGGAACUCCGAGUGUAGAGGUGAAAUUCGUAGAUAUUCGGAAGAACACCAGUGGCGAAGGCGACAUACUGGAUCAUUACUGACGCUGAGGCUCGAAAGCGUGGGGAGCAAACAGG